CAACAUUUGUAAGAUCCUUAAACGCACUCCUUCCUCUUCAUUACAGAGGCUCUAAACAACUGCAGGGCAAGCAGACCCACCAGCCAAGCUGCCAAGACAUCUCUUGAACUCAUGGUGCUUUGUGCAAGUUAUACACAGAGUUCCAAGGCUGCAGCCUUUGUGACUCUUCCACAAAAUCGCUUGGAUUCAAUCACUUGGCUUGGGGUUUACUCCAGAUUCUUUUAUUAAUGAGGGAAAAAAGAAAGAACCUUAAUCCUUGGUGACAGCCUGGAGCUUACUAUGUGUCACAUGAUGGUCCUGACUUUCCAGCAACAGUUUCUUAUUAAUUCCAUUCUUGAUCGACUUUCUUAGGAGGAAAAUAACAUGAUGGCAUCCAAUGGAGGAUAUGUAUACACACCUGAAGGGAAUUGAAGUUUGUUUUAAUUGCAUGUCUUUCCCCGAUGGAGAAAAAAGAAGAUAUUCUACAUUAUACUUACACUAUUGAGCUGAAAGGAGAAGAUUCAUUCAGGUCCAAGGGCAGGAAGGUAUGUGAGGACAUCAAGCAACUACUGCUUUGUCCUAAAUGGUUGUAGUAUUCAAACACUCAGCUAAGUGGAAAAAAGAUGGAAGGGAAGCUAUCCUUUAGUUCCUCAGUAGUAGGAUAUGUUAAUCUAGCCAGGGUAAUAAGACUUAGCUCAGGCCCAGAGGAACAAGGUAUGCUUGCCAGAAACU